UACGUAGGGGGCGAGCGUUGUCCGGAGUUACUGGGCGUAAAGCGCACGUAGGCGGCUCUUUAAGUCAGAGGUGAAAUCCUGGGGCUCAACCCCAGAACUGCCUUUGAUACUGAGGAGCUUGAGUCCGGGAGAGGUGAGUGGAACUGCGAGUGUAGAGGUGAAAUUCGUAGAUAUUCGCAAGAACACCAGUGGCGAAGGCGGCUCACUGGCCCGGUACUGACGCUGAGGUGCGAAAGCGUGGGGAGCAAACAGG
rnacentral:rRNA from 1 species